UAUUGUUUUCUCUCUUUAUUAUAUAAAAAGAAUUGAGGUUCUCAGUUUCUCUUAGGAUUCUGUUUUUCGUUAGCCAGUCAGCCAACUCCUUACAUUGUAUUGAGCAGCUGAUCAGGAAAGAAACGACAUACAAACAUGAAUAUUCAGAUGAGUAGUUCUGCAAGGUCGGGUACUGGUGUUAAAGAAUGCUUAAAGAAGUUUUACGAGAAGAUAGUCACCCCUGAAAACGGGAGGAAGUACUUUCUAUCAUUUUGUGUGGCUGUUUUGGCUAUUGAUCCUUUGUUUCUCU